CUUCUUGCCAGAAUGUAAGCUCCAUGAGGGCAGAGACUUUCUUGCUCACUGUAGUGUUCUGGUUCAUAUCUCUGACUCAGUGCCUGGCACAUAAUGGUGAGUGCUGAUCUGCAUAGCAAAGGGCAUUUUCCCAGCAACUGGUGAAACCAUCUAACCAAGAGUACAUGACCAGAUAAAUCUAACCUGAGGCUUAUGUGUGGAUUUGUUCACUUAGUCUGUGUUACAGUCAUUUUUUUAAAGAAGAAAUAUGUAAGAACAAAGCUUGUGCUAUUCCUUCAACUAGGGGUUUUAUUUGUCUCAUAAUAAAAUUGAUGUUACCGUA